GGACCCGCACAAGCGGUGGAGCAUGUGGUUUAAUUCGAUGCAACGCGAAAAACCUUACCUAUACUUGACAUACUUGGAAUGCUUUGUAAUGAAGCAGUGCCUUCGGGAGCCAAGAUACAGGUGCUGCAUGGCUGUCGUCAGCUCGUGUCGUGAGAUGUUCCGUUAAGUCGGAUAACGAGCGCAACCCUUACCCUUAUUUGCCAGCGAUUCGGUCGGGAACUAUAAGGGGACUGCCGGUGAUAAACCGGAGGAAGGUGAGGACGACGUCAAGUCAUCAUGGCCCUUACGUAUAGGGCCUACACACGUGCUACAAAUGGGGGAAUACAGACGGACGCUAAGCCGCGAGGUGGUGCUAAUCCUAGAAAGUUUCUCGUAGUCCGGAUUGGAGUCUGCAACUCGACUCCAUGAAGUCGGAAUC
rnacentral:rRNA from 1 species